rnacentral:rRNA from 1 species
GUAGGUGGCAAGCGUUGUCCGGAAUUAUUGGGCGUAAAGCGCGCGCAGGCGGUUCUUUAAGUCUGAUGUGAAAGCCCACGGCUCAACCGUGGAGGGUCAUUGGAAACUGGAGAACUUGAGUACAGAAGAGGAAAGCGGAAUUCCACGUGUAGCGGUGAAAUGCGUAGAGAUGUGGAGGAACACCAGUGGCGAAGGCGGCUUUCUGGUCUGUAACCGACGCUGAGGCGCGAAAGCGUGGGGAGCAAACAGGGAUUAGAUACCCUGGUAGUCCACGCCGUAAACGAUGAGUGCUAAGUGUUAGGGGGUUUCCGCCCCCUUAGUGCUGCAGCUAACGCAUUAAGCACUCCGCCUGGGGAGUACGGCCGCAAGGCUG